GUGCUCACUUCGGCAGCACAUAUACUAAAAUCGGA
rnacentral:snRNA from 1 species